AGAGACUUCAGCCUCUGCCCGCGUCAUCGCUCCAACGUACCAAUCAGGGUCCAUGUCCUGUUUUUAGAUGUUCACAUUCACAGAUGUGUGUGAUGGUGAAGGGUGAACUGGGCAAGAUGAAGAUGAGCUUGCUGCUCGGGCAAGUUCUUGGGCAAAAAAAAAUCGACUAAAUGUUGACAAAACAGAGGCAACUUCAGCCUAACCUCUUUAACAGUACUAACUAAACCUAAAUGGCUAUUGUUGUAAGUCAUUGUUGAGCAGUAAACGAGUAAAACACGUAAAACACACAA